rnacentral:rRNA from 1 species
UGCCCCAUAGUCUGGGAUACCACUUGGAAACAGGUGCUAAUACCGGAUAAGAAAGCGGAUCGCAUGAUCAGCUUUUAAAAGGCGGCGUAAGCUGUCGCUAUGGGAUGGCCCCGCGGUGCAUUAGCUAGUUGGUAAGGUAAAGGCUUACCAAGGCGAUGAUGCAUAGCCGAGUUGAGAGACUGAUCGGCCACAUUGGGACUGAGACACGGCCCAAACUCCUACGGGAGGCAGCAGG